AAGUAUCUUACCUCGGGAUAAAGGGAGGAAAGAGGGGUUUGUGGCCAGAUUGACAGAGGAAGGGUGAACGGAUAGAGCCGAGCAGAGCGCUCGCUGCUCUGGAGCGAAGAGCUGGACUUUUAGUUCGGUGGCUGGAUUGAUCAGAACUGAGAAGGUUUCAGUGAAGACAGUGAGGAUAAAGAGUUCAGCAUGGCAAUAACUUCAACAUCAACCUCAUCUUCAGCUAAUAGUAGGAAAACCAAAGGUGUAAGAUCACUGUAUUGUUUUAUUUGAAACUGUGUAGUCAAGUUGGACUCAUGGAAUUAAAGCAGGAAAUUUUCAUAUGACAGACGUUUUAUUUUUCCAGAUUUAUUUAUUUUUUUACAUAAAUUAUCAAAAAAGUAAGGCAGGACACUAAAUCCAAUUAGGAAGUUUCGCAUAUUCAGUGAGACCAGCAGGUCUUCUGGCUGCUGUCUGAUGCUCAUAGGAGCAGAGCUCUCAUAUUAUGUCCCACCUGUGUUUGCAAACAAAAUCAUGAUCCACUCUUGGAAUACACCAAGAGUUUUUAAAUCCUGUUAUUUAAAGGUUGUGUAAAACUAAACAUGUAUGACACCAGUCAAAGUUGUUGACAUGUAUCUUUAGCUAAAUAAAAGCUUUCCAACA